GGAUGGGGUACCAUUGUUUACCCAAUAUCAACUAAAUCUCUUGGUUAUACCACAGUUGUCCUAAGGAAUGUCUAAUUCCAUGCUCCUAUAUUUUACUGAAUUGUGGACUAUUCUCUAAGAAGAAAUCCCACAUCUGGUAUGCUGGAGCCCCACUUUGAGUGAGCUCAUGUCCCACUUCAGGUGAACACGAGACCUACCUACUUCAG